rnacentral:tRNA from 1 species
GUGGGUGUAGCUCAGUUGGUUAGAGCACUAGGUUGUGGUCCUAGGGGCCGCGGGUUCGAAUCCCGUCAUCCACC